CUGGCUCUAUGGCAGCCAUCUGGGGAGUGAACAGUCUACACAGGCUGGGGACUGGCAGGAUGCCUCAAGUGGUCUGUCUGCUGCUAAGGUAGAAGCCGAACUACUCGUGCUGUAGUCAGAACCCUGGGGUGGGUCCCUCAAUGGAGGCCUUGAGCCCAGACUGUCUGCCAUGUGGUGCCCAGGCUGUUCUGACAUCAUUGGCCCCGUUUCCCGAGGGGACACCAUGGUGAAUCCUAUGGGGGGUGUUCUUGUGUGUGAAUCCAGAACACCAAGGCAUCGUGUUCAUCAUGGCAGGCAUGCAGAUCAGCCCCAGCCCCUGUGACCAGUGCUACACCAGGCCUCUACUGAUGUGUCCUGCCAGGUUCUAUUACCAGAGAAGGCACCUCCCUUCCCAAGAUAAACCUUUGUGAUUAAUGGAGCUCAUCUUAACUGGAUGAGUUCAGGACAGCUCAAGGGCAGCGUGGAGAUCGAUGCUAGGCCUUGGCCUCACCUGGCUGCACAGGGCUCUGCUGAUAACUGCUGCAAAGCCGCCUCAGCCAAGGGCAGACGCAUGCUAGGAAAACUGUGCAGAAGACAGAGCAUUGUGACAAAGGCCUGCCUACGAGGUGGGUGGUCAGAACGUGGGCUGGGGAGGGUCCCCACGUUCCUACCCAAUGUGUCUGGCUGCUAAGCUGUACGCCAUAGUGUUCACCAAGCACCUGCUCGCUCCCAGUGUCUCCAGACUCCAUGCAUGCCAGCCACAGGCUUCACCAUUUUCUGGGGUUGUCCAUGGUGUGCACAAACACAGUGCAUGAGUUGCUGCUGUGAACAAGGCCCAUAGCAGAAAGCUGGGUGGUUGUCUUGGUCCAUUGCAUCUGGCCAUGUUUUUGUUGGGAUGUGUUGCAGUGGAAAACAUGGCAACUGGAUUGUCAGCUGCUCCGUGUUUCAUCAUUCCAUGGUUUGCACCAUGAUUUGUAAUUUUGUAAAUGAGGCUUCUUGCGGUGUGGGGGCGUCUAGUUAUCUAGGUAUAAUUUGCAUAGAGUGAAAUGCACUCUCCGCUCUGUGUUGGCUGAUGAAUGUUGAAAACAUACAAAGCUGUGUAAAUAUUGCCAUUCUCACAAUAAAGAACAGUUAUGUCACUUGUUCCUCUCAGGUGUGUAACUUCACGCUCCAUCCCAACCCCUGGCAGCCAUGACUUUAUUUUCUUUCUCUGUACUUGCUCUUUCCAUAAUGUUCUAUAAGCGAAUCAGCAUG